GUCUGGAUAGCUCAGUUAGUUAGAGCAUGGUGCUGAUAACGCCAAGGUUGCAGGUUCAAUCUCUGUAUAGGACA
rnacentral:tRNA from 1 species